AUUGUAGUCUGCAACUCGACUACAUGAAGCUGGAAUCGCUAGUAAUCGCGGAUCAGAAUGCCGCGGUGAAUACGUUCCCGGGUCUUGUACACACCGCCCGUCACACCAUGGGAGUCGGGAAUGCCCGAAGCCAGUGACCCAAGCGAAAGCAGGGAGCUGUCGAAGGCAGGCCGGAUAACUGGGGUGAAGUCGUAACAAGGUAUC
rnacentral:rRNA from 1 species